rnacentral:lncRNA from 1 species
AUUAAUAAAGAAUAAGAUACAGGGAAUAGAAAAUAAAAACAACUAUUGACUAAAAGCCUAGUAUCUUAGCAUUAGAAUCCCUGUUUUCAUUUCUCAGCUUUCAAUUGAAUGUCACAUUGUGUGAGUGUCAAAGAUCAAUACCUGGAAAAAAAACAAAGGAGAAGGUGAGGAAUGGAGCAUUAACAGCAGAGAUGAAUCCAGAUUCAGCAAUUUAGAACAGGGAACCAGCUCAAAACCCAACAAAAUUGUAAUAUAUCAAACAACUUGAACCAAAAACUUUCAGAAAAACCAAUAUUAAUUCAUACUUAAUCUCAAAUGAACCAGAAAAUAUUUCAGGACUUGAAAAUUUCAAUACUGAAUAAAGAGAUCAAUGAAAUAGCAGUAAUUUGGCCGUCUAAAGUUUUUUUGAUAUUUAG